CAGGCAGGGAUACUUCAAGGUGAUGUAAGACAGGGAGCAGAGCUUUCAGUCAGAGAAGGACCUAUUGGAUGUUGCGUUAGUGUUACUGCUAAAUUCUGAUAAUCUGAUUGAAGCGAGACCAGGAAUACACAGAAAAAGCCUACUUGCAUCACCAGGACAAAUGUGCUCAUUUUGAAUAGAAUUCUUUACUCACCUUGGGGGACACUUGGAGUAACACAUUUCUGUGGGUGGGGACAUAUCCCAUCUGCCACUGCCCGAAUUCUUUGGGUUAGCAGCUCUCCACAUGGCUCAGUUAAAGGCGCUACAUUGUCAAUCUGACGUAUGUAUUGGCCAUGCAGCAUUUAUGGUGAUAUGGCCUCGGCAGAAGUCAGACCAUUCAUACUUCUUGCGGUUCGCUGAGCAGCACAGGGCUGAUGUCAAGGAAGUGAGUUUGUGUUUAUACUGGACCUCCAGCCCUCACCAAUCACCACCAAAUAAUUUCAAUGCGGAGCUAUAUGGAGCCCUCCACAUUGUUACAUUUGAGAGGCGCAAGGUGAUGCGGUACGGAGCUCAAUUUAGCCUCUGCGUCCCUCUGGAGACUCCGCGAUUGCAUCACAAUAUCCAUACGGCGCCCCCGACUAAAUUUUCGGAUCAAGCAUAAAUUGGCUCUCAUGUACUGGCUUUUACCGCGUGAGAAGCGACUCUCUGGAACUGUAGAGAUGCAUGAGAAACCUCACUCUCCAAACCGCAGGAGCAUGCUACAGUCGAACAAGGCAUCGCAACGAACUGACUGGACUUUUAAUCCACACCAACGGAUUUAUACUUUUUAAAUAGAUUUUUAUUAAUUAAGCAGGUUUCGUCGUCAUCUGCUCUGUGGUUCGUUGACUAUUGGAUCUCAUCGGAUAGCAUAUCCCUUAACCCACGGCCAGAUGUGCGUGCUGUGCGUUAUGGAUAACUUUGUAUCGAGUUAUGUUCAGCUGUGGAUCGAUUUACGCAUGCUUCAGGUUCAACAUUUAGAUUUUGACAUCCGAUUUUGGAUCUCUUUUUACGCAUCAUGCUUAUGGAUAUUCAUAUCCCGCGGACCCAUUGGCGACAGUUGCCCAGGUGUUGGGUUAUAACUAUAGAACGCAUCAGCAUCAAUGACACAGGUGAAUGUCAACAAUCGCAUUUUUUACAACUUGCCACAUAACGGCCCUUUGUAAGAAGAAACUCGAUUUUGGAUUGUAAAAUGCCACCCCGGGAUAAGACGUAGCAAGAACAUAAUUUUGCAGUGGUCUUACAGGUGCGUAAGAAAUGCCUUGGCGAGUCAGAAUGCCUGGAGAAAAUGAAACAACAGGGAAUUCCGGACGUGAUAUGAAGAAAUGGUGUGAGGACAAGACCCCCAAGCCUCUCCCUCCACUGAAAGCUGAGUGGGACAGAGAGGGUGUGAAGAAAGAUGUCCCCCUCUACCCCUUAGUCCUGAAGAGAGACAAAUUAACCAGUUGAAAGAGAGUGACUCACGCUCUCCUCUCUGCUCAUCCAUCCCAUCUGGUUUGUAUUUCUUUGGAUGUUUCUCCGCCUCCAGCCUCUGGGUAGUACCAGCGCCAAGGCCCAGAUGGCUGCCGACCCAGCCCCACCGCGAAGAGCGUACACUGGGUUGGAAAACGCCUGGGCUUGCCUCUUGGCUGGGGUAUGGAUGGUGGGGUAUGGUUGGGAAGGGAAGGGUGGACUUGGCUGGUGAUGGGACUUGGAUGGACCGCACUCCGGCGCUGACACAACAUCCAUCGAUCAUCCAUCGCAUUGGUUGGUAGUUGAUACCCUCAGCGCUGAGGGAGAGAGCCCAGUCGUGUUGAGGGGUGUUGCGGAGUGAACAGUCAGAGAAGACGCCACAGACUGGCCAGACGUCCCCUAGAUCAGUAACUGAGACUGGCAUCUCAUGGAACUGGCGCGGGCAUCAGUACCAGACUGGUAAACUGGCAUGAGAAAUUCUUUUAGACUCUAAAUCCCAUGUCUAAAUGUAAUGGUUUUCAGUUGUAGAAGUCAGCAUGGAGAACCUGAUUGGUGCUGUAUUGUAGUCUGGUUUCAACAGACAAGAGCCAUAUGAUAUCAGGAGCACGUGAAGCACGAUAUCAGGACGACCGACUUUUAAUGACACACGUGUGUUGUUUUGAAGCUCAAAGGGAGUACACAAAGUAGUAUGGCUUAUGUUUGUUUACGUCCAUAUGCUUUGGAGAAAGGUGAAGUGGUCACAUCCUAUGGCAGAUUAUCAUUUCUUUAAGGGAGAGAAGAGAGAGAGGGGGAGGGAGAAAGUAAAGGAGGGGUGCCUGAGGGGCAGUCCUUUGUUUCGUUUUGUUUAUUCCUCCACGUGUCUAAAUAAAAAAGGCCUAGACAGAACCCUAGUGCCUUGGAGUUCUUUUUCCCACCGACAACAACUUUGUGACACUUCCCAUGCAGUGUAUGUUUCCAAGGGGGUGGGGGGGGUCUAUAUUCAAAGCCUGCUUUACUGCUGAGGAAUUGUCAUUGUGGGGGAAUCAAGACUUGGGAGCGGGGAUUAGAAAGCACUGGGGGCUGAGCAAGGGGGGUUAAGCUUAGUUUGAUGGCAUUUUUAUUGUGGAGUUUGAUUAGAAUGCCCCCCCCCCAACACCACACAGCGGGUUUUCUCACACGCCAGUCAUGGGGAGAAAAAUGACUUUCCUCUAUGGCACUCAUAUCACUCCCGCUCCAUAGCCCUGAAUGGAAUGGCCAAACAAAAGGUGACAUCAUUUGUACCCAGGAUCAUAUUGCCAGAUCAGGGGCCUCCUUGAUGACAUCAUGACCCAGUCGCUUUCAACCCUUCCCUGGGAUGCUGGGUUGGCAUGGAAGUGAGUACUUCACUUGAAUUAGUCAUAGUUUGAUGGCCUGUAAAGUUUGAUAUGGCUGUGUUUGCGAUAAACAAGUUUGAGGGUGAGUGACAGGUAAGAUUCAAUAUUUGGGUAUGGCAGGUGUACAUUACACAUACAGUAUCAGUCAAACGUUUGGGCACACCCACUCAUUCAAGGGUUUUUCUUAAUUUUUUUACUAUUUUCUACAUUGUAAAAUAGUAGUGAACACAUCAAAACUAUAAAAUAACACAUAUGGA